rnacentral:tRNA from 1 species
GGGCGCUUAGUUUAAUGGUAAAACACCUCGUUUACACCGAGAAGACCGGAAGUCCGAUUCUUCCAGCGCCCA